rnacentral:rRNA from 1 species
GAUCAUCUCAGGAUGAACGCUAGCUACAGGCUUAACACAUGCAAGUCGAGGGGCAGCAUGAACUUAGCUUGCUAAGUUUGAUGGCGACCGGCGCACGGGUGAGUAACACGUAUCCAACCUGCCGAUGACUCGGGGAUAGCCUUUCGAAAGAAAGAUUAAUACCCGAUGGCAUAGUUCUUCCGCAUGGUAGAACUAUUAAAGAAUUUCGGUCAUCGAUGGGGAUGCGUUCCAUUAGG